UGGGGAAUAUUGCACAAUGGGCGCAAGCCUGAUGCAGCCAUGCCGCGUGUAUGAAGAAGGCCUUCGGGUUGUAAAGUACUUUCAGCGGGGAGGAAGGGAGUAAAGUUAAUACCUUUGCUCAUUGACGUUACCCGCAGAAGAAGCACCGGCUAACUCCGUGCCAGCAGCCGCGGUAAUACGGAGGGUGCAAGCGUUAAUCGGAAUUACUGGGCGUAAAGCGCACGCAGGCGGUUUGUUAAGUCAGAUGUGAAAACCCCGGGCUCAACCUGGGAAAUGCGUCUGAUACUGGCAAGCUUGAGUGUCGUAGAGGGGGGUAGAAUUCCAGGUGUAGCGGUGAAAUGCGUAGAGAUCUGGAGGAAUACCGGUGGCGAAGGCGGGCCCCUGGACGAAGACUGACGCUCAGGUGCGAAAGCGUGGGGAGCAAACAGG
rnacentral:rRNA from 1 species